CAAAUUGUUCUUUUGGUUGAUCUGGAAGGUGAAGGUGUUAAGAAGCCCUAGAAGAAUGGGGAGAGGGAAGAUUGCGAUAAAGAGGAUUGACAAUUCAACAAACAGGCAAGUCACUUUCUCAAAGAGACGAAGUGGUUUGCUCAAGAAAGCCAAGGAGCUUGCCAUCCUCUGUGACGCACAAGUUGGGGUCAUCGUCUUCUCCAGCACCGGCAAGCUCUAUGAAUAUGGAAGCUCCAGCAUGAAGUCAACUAUUGACCGCUACAAUAAACAAAAAGAUCAGGAACACCACCCGCUUAUGAAUCCAGCUUCAGAAGCCAAGUUUUGGCAGAGAGAAGCAACGGUCUUGAGACAACAGCUGCAACACUUGCAGGAAUUGCACAGGCAAUUCAUGGGUGAACAACUUUCUGGUUUGGGAAUUAACGAAUUGAAAAAUUUGGAAAAUCAACUGGAGAUGAGUUUGAAAAAUGUUCAGAUCAAGAAGGAUCAAAUUUUGACAGAUGAGAUUAAAGAGUUACAACACAAGGGACAUCAAAUUCGUCAAGAAAAUGUGCAACUCCACAAAACAGUAGAAGUCAUUAGUAAAGAAAAUGCAGAAUUACAGACCAAGGUAAGUUGACUAAAAAAAGAACAUUUUAUGAUUUAGGUCAUGUAAAGUGCUACAGACGAACAAGCUUGCCCUCAAUUAUUAUUACACAAGAACAUAGGAGGCAAGAGGAAGACAUCAACUAUAGUGAGCCUAUUUCUGAAGCAAGCGUUGUGAAUGAGGGAAAUGGGAAUUCUAAUCCUACACAGUCUGUCA